rnacentral:tRNA from 1 species
GCCGUGGUGGCACAAUCUGGCUACUGCGCUGGCCUUGAGAGCCAGUGUCCUUCGGGACUUCCCGGUUCAAAUCCGGGCCACGGCG